rnacentral:lncRNA from 1 species
AAAGAAAUAAAGUGUUCAUCUUUUAACAUCUUUGGCCGAAAAUUCUAAGAAGAAAGGGGAAGGGGAAACAAACAUUCGGCCACUCCUUCUAGUCUUGAAUAAGGUAUGUAAUUCAUGGUAGCUUUUGAAAUUGUUGAAUGUAUUAAGCUAGAUACUAAGUCCCUUAGUUACCCCAUGUCCAAAUUUUGAAUCUUGUUGGUAACAUGAGUAAUCGGUUAAGAGAAAAUGUUCAAGA